UCUUUAAAUGAGGACUAGUAUGAAUGGCACUACGAGGGUUAUACUGUCUCCUUUCUCUAAUCAGUGAAACUAAUUUUCCCGUGAAGAAGCGGGGAUAUAUUUAUAAGACGAGAAGACCCUAUGGAGCUUUAAACAACUCAGCAAUUUCUCCUAAACUCACAAAUUUCAGAAUGUUCAUUUUUUAAGAAAUAUGUCUGCAAGUUUUUGGUUGGGGUGACCAUGGAGAAUAAUAUAACCUCCAUAUUGAAUGAAUUUUUUUUAAGCUAAAAACUACCAAUUAAAGCAUCAAUACACUGACAUUUAUUGACCCAAUAUAUUUGAUCAACGAACCAAGUUACCCUAGGGAUAACAGCGCAAUCUACUUCAAGAGCCCCUAUCGACAAGUGGGUUUACGACCUCGAUGUUGGAUCAGGGUAUCCCAGUGGCGCAGCCGCUACUAAAGGUUCGUUUGUUCAACGAUUUAAACCCUACGUGA
rnacentral:rRNA from 1 species